rnacentral:lncRNA from 10 species
AUGCUAUCGCUGGUUCCUGUUUGUCCACACCUCCAGCUGAGGGGGGAGGUGUUCCUGGGGGCAGAUUGUGUUUGCAGUCGCAUCUCUCCACGUCGCCUGCCUUCGCUGGCUCCGGCCUGGGCCUGGAUGUCUUAUCUUACUUUAUGGGUUCACCCACUGUGGGGAGGAAGGCUAGCAAACGCGGGCUCAGGAUGCGCCCUGGCGCUUCUUUAUUUAUUUAAUCAAUUUCAGCACGUAAAGGAGAACUUACUUAUUUCUCAACACUUCUUUCUGUUUCCUGAAAGGCUGAAAAAGGAGUCCUUAAUUCCCCUCAGCACUGUUUGAGGUGAGCAGCUACAACUACACAAGACAAAAACAAAGACUUUUUCAAGCUCAAAAAUCCUGUGAUUCUUUGAUUCUAAGAAGAGAUUUUCUGACAAGGAGUUUGCCUAAGGUAAGAGAAUCCUGACUGCCCAGGAUAUUACAGUCACUAGGUGGUUUCCUGGGCAGGCCGGGCCCCCGCUGGGACCCCACACAUUAGCUCUUUUUGGGAGGGAGGCCAGUUCUUAAACUUCCUCAACACCUUCCUUCCCGCAGUGUCCACACGGCUUGUGUCUCCUCCCAGUUGCCGGCCUGCCGGCAUGUGGGCUGCCUGUGGAGAGGGGCCAUAGGCCUGUGUUGUGAAUGACGUCUGCAGGGCAUGGGGUUGACUUUGAAGAAGGUGUGAUCCUAAGUUGUGUUUGACCUGAGCUCCUGUCACCCCUGAAGGCAGCAGAGGAUGUCCUGUCGGUGACCCAGGAGGACAGCUUCCUGAGCCCAUUGCACAGAAGGGCUUUCAUGAUUGGUUUGCCCUGCUGUGAGUUUUUUCCCUACCUCUGAAGGCCUAGACUGGGUUUCCCAUUUCGUAGCCCUGUGGAAGGGCCAGUGGCUCCCCGUUUGACAGGCUGCCCUGAGCAGCAGGUGCUCCAUUUAGACCCAGGCUGCCCCAAUCCCAGCUCUGAUCUGACUCUCAGCUCUGAGGCUCCAUUGAGUCCCUGGGCCUCAGGGACCCUGUUCAGGCUUUGCUGAUGGUGGCAUCAAAUGAUCUCUGAGCCACCUCCACGCUGGCUCUCACUAAGGCAACUGGUGAUCUUGUCUUGCUGUUUGCAAUAUUUGAAGACAAAAACCAGAACUUGUGCUGCAUUCUCAAGAAAGACGAGACAACCGUUCCUGUACCUUACUCUUACUCUUAGAUAUCUGUAUGAAGAAGUCCUGAUGGGUGCAUGCAAGCUAGGGAGCAUCAAGGCUCCCACAGCAUGAGCGCCAGCUGACCCCUGACUUCGUUGUCAUCUGUUGCUCUGUUUGUGGCUCUGAAAUCUGGGCAACCUGAGCCAGCUUGUGCGUUCCUUACCCUUGUGCUUUUGCACUGCCCAUCCCUGUCCCCUAGAACUCCCUCCAGUACAGUCUGCCCCACCUCAUCCCAUCCCAUGCCAUCCCAUCCCACCUCACUCCAUCCUAUCCCAUCCUACUGCAUCCCACCCCAUCCCAUUCCAUCCCAGCCCACACCACCCUGGCCCAUCCCACCUCACCCCAUCCCAUCACCCCAUCCCAC